UAGGACGACACUUGCGAGCGAACAGACAACGACAACGGUUUCAGAUUAAUUACAGAAGGUGACGUAACAGUACAGCGAGAUGCAGCUGCGCCGCUCCCUGACGUAAACCGACGCCUGCGCAUCUCGAGUCACACGGAUUAACCAAUGGGAGAGCGUCUAACAUGCACAGUUUUAUUUGCACCUGCCCGCAGAGGAAGUACGACUAAGGUGCACCAUAGUUUAAGAAAGACUACGAUAAUUACAUUAAAACAUUAUAUUAUCUUA